rnacentral:rRNA from 1 species
UACGUAGGGGGCAAGCGUUGUCCGGAUUUAUUGGGCGUAAAGAGCGUGUAGGCGGCCAUACAGGUCCGUUGUGAAAACUCGAGGCUUAACCUCGAGACGUCGAUGGAAACCGUAUGGCUAGAGUCCGGAAGAGGAGAGUGGAAUUCCUGGUGUAGCGGUGAAUGACGCAGAUAUCAGGAAGAACACCCGUGGCGAAGGCGGCUCUCUGGGACGGUACUGACGCUGAGACGCGAAAGCGUGGGGAGCGAACAGG